UUCAUAUUUUAACCAAGGCAACAUGUCCACACCUUUAUAGAAAGUGUUUUGAACAGUAUCUACAGUACAAAUCUGUACUUUACACAUGGAUGACAUUUGUGUGAAAUGGUUGGAACUUUUGCUGAAAAGCCACAUUACUUUUCUGGGAAGGCAGUUUUAAAAUUCAAAUGAUUUCACAGAAAAUUGGAGACAAAAAAAAAACGAUUUGUCAGUGUAUUUGUUUUGUAAUCUUUGUUUUGCUUUUGUUUCUUCAUCUAUCAUUUGCACCAGCUAAUCUUCUCAGUAAUCCCUGGCCGGCUAAUAAUAACAAUACCUUGAACACACACACACACACACACACACACAAACCAAAAGAAAAAAAAAGAAAAAAAAUCAAUUAUGCUGGCCCUGACCAGGAGUGUCUCAUUAUUUCAUAGGCAAUAACCUGAAUGAUAGAGUAAUAAAGAGCAAUUUAUUUGGGGGUGGGGCAAGGAGGGAUGAGCAGAAGAUGGAUGUGUUCAGAUAGACAGAUCUAAUUAGCCUCAUCCGAGCUGCGGCUAGCCGCUCCACUCAGGCUAAUCCUGGGCUACUGCUAAUGACCAGCAAUCCACACCUCCUCCGUCAGCCUCGGGCUGCGUUAGUCUUGCUUCUGUGAUGUGGGGAUGGACAGACAUCCACCGUGGAUGGAUGGAGAGACCAACAGUGACCACAACUGAGUAGAAUAUUGUGUUUCUAGAUAUUUGAAGGGCUUUUCAGGGGGACCCUGAGAGUGCUUUGGACCGGGGCCAAGGAAAGGCACUCCGGGAGUAUCGAGAGGUUUAACAGGAAUGAAGUGUGAAUUAAAACCAAGCGGCUACAGCACCGCUGCCGACCAAGGCAAACCUGCGCCUGUGUCCUUUUGUUUCCUUUUUCAAACCUCUCAGAUAAUUUCUCACCUCAUAUUGAAAUGGCAUAUGAGAAAAGAUUCAAAACACCAUCAGAAAGGCCUCAUAACUAGUCAGUAGGUGCUUCAAGAUUCAAAUAAAAAUACAUUUAGAAGCUGAGAGAGAGAGAAAAAUACACACUUUUUGAACACCUGAGCUUCCUGUAAUGGCUGGUGUACAUACUUCUCUUUGCUCUUAAUGGUGUUUUACACUUUGCCUCUGAGCCACUAAUCACCAAAGUGAUCAUCACUACCUACAUCUAUUUGCACACAGUUGCUACUGUAUGAAAACCUGGAUGAAUUUCACUUCAACCUUUGCAUUUCACGAAAAUAUUUGCUGAGACUUUAGUUGAAAAUUCUGCCACCAUGGAUACAGUUGGAUACAGUUUGUCACUUUGAGAUUUAGCCAAGCAAAAUUUGAAGUUAAUGCUGAAAAUGUAUGAAAAUCUUCAUCUGCAGAUUCCACCUCUCUGUACAAAAAUCUAUGGUCAAAUAUGAACAUAUUUGUUAAAUUAUGAAAAAUAUGUGAACACUAUGUGAACACUAUAUGUAGCCCACAAGGAUAUUGAAGCAUCAUAUGCAAUUCUCAGUUUGUUUUGCAAAAUAUUUGAAAGUAAAAUUGUCUCGUAAUCUAAUAUGUUUUCUGUUACACAGAGGUAAAGGGAAAAAAGCUUUUUUUAGAAAGCUGCAACAUUUAAAUCAAUAGAAAAGGUGUGCAAAGGUAAUCAUGUUUGUUCAAUUACUUAAUUAGCGUUACUUACACACAAUUAUGAAGCCAAUCUAAUGUAGUUAGAAAUACAUGGACUUACAAGACAAGGUCAUGGGUCAUCCAGCUAGGUGGAUGAAUGUCUAAUUAAUGUAAAGAAUAAUCUCCAUACCUCAUAUAUGAACAUUUAUGUUAUAGAAAAUAUAUGCAUAUCUGUAAAUAUAUAUUGGUCAUUUUUACUAUCCUUUGAAAUAUGUGGUACAUAUAUGUGACU